AGCGCUGCAACCUGGAACUUGUAGUUUCUCACGCCGAGUCUUAAAGAGUCUGGUAAUUUUGGAGGUUGUCCCUACCCCUCCUUUGCGGGUAAGCCUAGACGUAGCAGACGUCCGCAGAAGAAAGGUCGGAAAGUGGGGGUGCGGUUUCUAUGCUAACAAGACCGUGCUCUUUAUGAAGCACUUUCUGUCUUUUGUGAAAAGUUGCAGAGCUUAUUGAAGAGCAUCUCGGCAGCUCGCGAAAUCGCUGGCCUCAUUUCCUCUCUUCCCGGUACUUUUCAGUGUUUACUGAAAGCAACCACGCCCCCCACCCCCACUCGGAGGCCUUCACCCGUCGCCUGUCUCCCUCCCAGGGAAUCAUUCACAGAAACUACGGCCACCAGUACUCAAUUCUGACACCAUCUUUGUCAUUUCACGCCCCCUCUGCCUCUCCUUCUGUUCUCUCUCCCGCUGUCUCCUCGGCGCACUAUCUCCCCACUCUUCCCAUCUGCCUAUCCUUUUUACAGAUCUUACCUCCACUUAAGAUGGGGUUCUAUCCUGAGAACUCAUGGUGAUCUGGAAUCUUAGUUCCCCAACUGGGGAUAGAACUGGCAGUCCUUGCAUUGGAAGCACAGAGUCUUAAACCACUGGACCCCCCAGGAGAGUCAAGAGACGUUAAAAGGGUUGCCUUCACUAUGUGUUAGGGGAAGCACACUGGCUGAAACUGCCCACCCUGGCCAGGCACUAUAGUAACCAUUUGUGUGAGCUGUUUUAUGACAUGAGGUCCUGGUAAGGAACGUGGAACUAACAAGCCACCACAACCAGAAGAGUUGGGGAAAAGUCAGGAGACACCACACGUCUGACCACUUCCCAGAGUCCUUCUUCCUGGCAUCCAUCUUACUUGAGCAAUGCCUGAGCCACCAGGAAGGACCUUGAGUCAGAAUGAUUGGCCAAAGACAACCUGUAAAUUUAUCCUAUCACCUUAAAACCCCAGACUGUGAGCCACAUGGCAGAGCAGUUCUGGGUUUCCUUACCCUACUGCU